rnacentral:rRNA from 1 species
CACGCCGUAAACGAUGUCUACUUGGAGGUUGUGGCCUUGAGCCGUGGCUUUCGGAGCUAACGCGUUAAGUAGACCGCCUGGGGAGUACGGUCGCAAGAUUAAAACUCAAAUGAAUUGACGGGGGCCCGCACAAGCGGUGGAGCAUGUGGUUUAAUUCGAUGCAACGCGAAGAACCUUACCUACUCUUGACAUCCAGAGAAGCCAGCGGAGACGCAGGUGUGCCUUCGGGAGCUCUGAGACAGGUGC